AGAGUUUGAUCCUGGCUCAGGACGAACGCUGGCGGCACGCUUAACACAUGCAAGUCGAACGAGAGAAGAGGAGCUUGCUUUUCUGAUCUAGUGGCGGACGGGUGAGUAACACGUGAGCAAUCUGCCUUUCAGAGGGGGAUACCGAUUGGAAACGAUCGUUAAUACCGCAUAACAUAAUUGAACCGCAUGAUUUGAUUAUCAAGGAUUUAUCGCUGAAAGAUGAGCUCGCGUCUGAUUAGCUAGUUGGUAAGGUAACGGCUUACCAAGGCGACGAUCAGUAGCCGGACUGAGAGGUUGAUCGGCCACAUUGGGACUGAGACACGGCCCAGACUCCUACGGGAGGCAGCAGUGGGGAAUAUUGCACAAUGGAGGAAACUCUGAUGCAGCGACGCCGCGUGAGGGAAGAAGGUUUUAGGAUUGUAAACCUCUGUCUUCAGGGACGAAAAAAGACGGUACCUGAGGAGGAAGCUCCGGCUAACUACGUGCCAGCAGCCGCGGUAAUACGUAUGGAGCGAGCGUUGUCCGGAAUUACUGGGUGUAAAGGGAGCGUAGGCGGGAUCGCAAGUCAGAUGUGAAAACUAUGGGCUUAACCCAUAAACUGCAUUUGAAACUGUGGUUCUUGAGUGAAGUAGAGGUAAGCGGAAUUCCUAGUGUAGCGGUGAAAUGCGUAGAUAUUAGGAGGAACAUCAGUGGCGAAGGCGGCUUACUGGGCUUUAACUGACGCUGAGGCUCGAAAGCGUGGGGAGCAAACAGGAUUAGAUACCCUGGUAGUCCACGCCGUAAACGAUGAUUACUAGGUGUGGGGGGACUGACCCCUUCCGUGCCGCAGCAAACGCAAUAAGUAAUCCACCUGGGGAGUACGACCGCAAGGUUGAAACUCAAAGGAAUUGACGGGGGCCCGCACAAGCAGUGGAGUAUGUGGAUUAAUUCGAAGCAACGCGAAGAACCUUACCAGGUCUUGACAUCGUAUGCAUAGCUCAGAGAUGAGUGAAAUCUCUUCGGAGACAUAUAGACAGGUGGUGCAUGGUUGUCGUCAGCUCGUGUCGUGAGAUGUUGGGUUAAGUCCCGCAACGAGCGCAACCCUUACUGUUAGUUGCUACGCAAGAGCACUCUAGCAGGACUGCCGUUGACAAAACGGAGGAAGGUGGGGAUGACGUCAAAUCAUCAUGCCCCUUAUGACCUGGGCCUCACACGUACUACAAUGGCUGUCAACAGAGGGAAGCAAAGCCGCGAGGUGGAGCGAACCCCUAAAAGCAGUCUUAGUUCGGAUUGUAGGCUGCAACCCGCCUACAUGAAGUCGGAAUUGCUAGUAAUCGCAGAUCAGCAUGCUGCGGUGAAUACGUUCCCGGGCCUUGUACACACCGCCCGUCACGCCAUGGGAGUCGGUAACACCCGAAGCCUGUAGUCUAACCGCAAGGAGGACGCAGUCGAAGGUGGGAUUGAUGACUGGGGUGAAGUCGUAACAAGGUA
rnacentral:rRNA from 1 species